AUGGAUUAUUUUACGUACAAAAUGAAAAAAAAAAAAAAAAAAAAAGAAGCAAUAAAGACCACUAAUCAGGCAGUCAGCAGUGUUAGGCUUUUCCAAAAGGGGCAUUGGCCAGUGAGCGUAGGAGAGACAACCUCAUGGAGAUCUACAGAGGAGUUGGCCAUUGCUUUCAGCGGCUGCAGGGCUGUGAUUCCCACUGCGCUUAUUGGCGGAAUCCCUCUUUCUUGGAUCAACCAGGGACUUACCUUCCUCGAAGGCCAGCAUGCAGUCCUGUGCUGGCAACAUUUCUGUAGAGCUGGCCAGCAGCAGCCUGAGGUUGGCUAUGUCAGAUGGUUCCUAGCAUCCUAGAAGCUGAGCCUUGCUCAAUCCUGUCUUUAUCCUGUCAGCUUCCUCUGAAGCCCCUGAUAUUUGAUAUUAUGGUUUUGAUCUUUAUUAAUAAUGACCUCACAUAGUUAACCUUAGUUUUGGCUAACUGCUAGUUCGUCGAGCUGAGUCUUCAUUCAGAAAUUCACAAAAUACUUUGUGAAUUUGACAAUGCCACUGAAUUUUCACAAUACUAUCCAAUGGCCACAAGCAUCAUUAUAGGUGAGAACCCUGAGGAUACCCAUAAGGGUAUUUCAAGAUGCUAGAAUGUGACAACAUAGAUCUCUUCCACUUUCUACUCACCUUAGCAAACCAGUACAUUCGGUAUUCAGGAUAUUCAAUAGAACAUUCAGCACAUCCUUAACUGCUCUUAGAAAUCGGUUCUAUCGAUAUAUCAGCUAUUCAAAGAAAGUGCUUUUAAGUUCAUUGUUGAACACAGUCAUGUCAUGUCUUGCAAUCACAGAGUCAACGAAUGUUUGAACUCUAAGAUUUCUUAUAGACAGGCUACUCUGAAUUAAGAACACUAUCACCCAGCUAAAAAGGGUAAGUCACUUAGUAACUUGCCCAAGGAGCACACAGCUAGUGCGUGGCUGAACCUGAUGUGGAAGUAAACAUCAUGAGCAUAAGCCACCUUUCUACCACUGUGUGUUGUGUUGAAGGUAUGAAGAUACCAUGUAUAUAUUCACACAUGCACACACAUAAAAGGAUAAAGUCUUGUGUCACAUAGACCCAGUUGUCUGAAGAAACCAUCAGCCCUACUAAAACAAUAGCCCAUUUAAGUUUAAGAGAGCUUGGUGAGGCCCAGAGCCUCACCAGCCCCCCAGAACACAGAGUAUUGUUUCCAUCCAAAAUUUGCACUGAAAGGAAGCCUGUCAGCUGGCAGUGACCUCGUGAGACAACUGUGGGGAGAGCAAAGGGCCGAGAAGAGAAAGGCCUCAUUCUCACUGCAAACAGGAAAAGGAAAGAGAAAAAGCAAGCUCUGUCUCCACACCAGAUUUGCUGGGUUGCCUAUGAACUGUUACAGUACGUUCCAUCAAAUAGACGCCUUCAUAGAAUCAAGCAGAGCGCGAACACCGUGUUUGGGGCCCCCACUCCCAGGACACACACGUGGGCUGGCUUACACAUGCUCUUGCUCUCUCGCGCCCUGGGAGAGCACUUAUAUGGGCUUCAUGAGGCUAAGUAAUAAACACUUUGUCUUCACCCUGCUAUUUAUGGGU
rnacentral:lncRNA from 13 species